rnacentral:rRNA from 1 species
UACGUAGGGCGCAAGCGUUGUCCGGAAUUAUUGGGCGUAAAGGGUGCGUAGGCGGUUUGAUAAGUCUGAUGUGAAAUCUAUGGGCUCAACCCAUAGCCUGCAUUAGAAACUGUCGGGCUUGAGUAUGGGAGAGGUGAGUGGAAUUUCCGGUGUAGCGGUGAAAUGCGUAGAUAUCGGAAGGAACACCUGUGGCGAAAGCGGCUCACUGGACCAUUACUGACGCUGAUGCACGAAAGCUAGGGGAGCAAACAGG